rnacentral:ncRNA from 1 species
UUUGUCUCACGGCACACCCGGGGAAACCCGGGGUCGCAAAGCCACGAGGCUACCGCCGGGCAACCGGCCACGCCAGUCGAGCCGCCAAA